GUUGGUCAGCUUCACAGCCGGUGGAGGCUGCGGGCCGCGCUGCCAGUGUCCGGGAACUGGGUUUGCGAAUCCUGGGAGCCGCGUUCCUGAGUCUUCUCCGCUCUCUGCCCUCAAAACCUCAUUUGUAGGACUGACCUCCGGCUCCACCCUCCCCACGGGCGAGUUAAAACUGUUCCCCCGCCGUGGGAAACUGCCGAAUGACCGUGGAAUAAAGGAUUUCCCAUCAGGCUUUGUAGCCAUUUCCAACUCCAAUGACAUGAAGAAGUGUUCACCAUCUUUAAGGAGAGAAGGAGGAUGAAUGCAGUCGCUUGUCUAAAGCUAACCAAACGGACCAAAGCCUCCGUUCAUGGGUGUCCCGCUUGGUGCCCUUAACCCUGAUGCUCUUAACCUGGGCAUGAUAAGGAAAAUUGCAGUUUUUCCAUUUUCGAUUUUCAGAAGUUCAAACUAAAAUUUUGUGUUACUUUGUUACGUUUGAGCCAGAUAUUUACGAUUUCAUGUUAAAAGACCAGGUGCUCCUAUUGAAUUGUUUUUUGUUUGGUUGGUUUCGGUUUGUUUUUUUUUUUUUCUUUUUUUUUGAGACGGAGUCUCACUCUGUCCCCUCAAGCUGGAGUGCAGCCGCACGGUCUCGGCUCACUGCAACUUCCGCCUCCUGGGUUCAAGCGAUUCUCCUGAGUAGCUGGGAUUACAGGCACGCUGUACCACACCCAGGGUUUCACCAUGUUGCCCAGGCUGGCCUCGAAUUCCUGACCUCAGGUGAUCCGCCCGUCUCGGCCUUCCAUAAUGCUGGGAUUAUAGGCGUGAGCCACCGCGCCAGGCCUGAAUUGUAUUUUCAACAACUGUGUGGGAAUUGUGAUUACUGAACCAUGUUUCACAUUUAAGAUACAAAUGUGUUAUGAUGGCAAACCCACUUGACAGGCUGCUGGGUGUCCCAAAUCUGCGUAGAGGCUGAGUGUGGAAGCGCGUCUUUUAAGAGUAGCACCUACACCCUUGCCCUGGUCUGGUCUGACUCUCAAGCUACACUUUUAAGUGUGAAUUUAACAUGGACGGUGGCCUUUCCUAUACUCCUGGCAUUGUUGUCGCUGGGAUUGUUAUGUUUCACCUGCAGGCCUCCCUAGUCUGCAUGCGGGCGCAGUUUUUGACAAAAGGAAACAGGUACAGGUCAGGUGCAGCUCCCAGGAGAGGCCAGAUUACUCUCUGAGGCCUGAACUAGGACUCCUGCAACUUCCACCACCUGGAGAUACAGGGAUCCGCUUCCCCUGGCAGAUUAACUGGCAGAUUGGCAUGGCUGCGGUGAUACUAACUUGGAAUCUUCCACAUUCAACAGGCUGACUGUGUUUGUGUCUGCGAGUAGUAGGACAUUUUAUGUAUGUGGCUCUGCCAUUUUUCCUUUCCUCAUGAGUGACUGUGUUUAUGGCCUCAACCUGGGUGUCACUGUAGAACAGGUUGAUUUCAGGUUGAUGCUGGUUUUCUUUUUUUUUUUUUUUUUUUUUGAGACAGGGUCUCACUCUGUCACCCAGACUGAAAUACAGUAGUGAGAUCAUGGCUCACUGCAGCCUUGAAUUCCUGGGCUCAAGCAGUCCAACUGCCUCAGCCUCUGAAGCAGCAGGGACUUCAUGCAUGUGCCAUGCCCAACUAAUUUUUGUGUCUUUUUUAUGGAGAUGGGAUCUCACUGUGUUGCCCAGGAUGGUCUCAAACUUCUGGUCUCAAGCAAUCCUCCUGCCUUGGCCUCCCAAAAUUUGGGGAUUACAGACAUGAGUCACCACGCCCAGCCCACAUUGAUUUCUGAGUCUAGCUUAUUUACAGCAUUGCCUAUUUCUACACUGCUAGAAUGCUUUAUUUACCAUGUCUCUGGAGCAACCCUUAUUUGUCUUUACACAUUCAUUUUAGGAAAUUGCAUGUUUAUUGUGUGUAAGUGCUGUCAAAACCUAUAAUCCUUUGUAUUAGUCUGUUCUCACACUGCCAUAAAGAAUUACCUGAGCCUGGGUAAGUUAUGAAGAAAAGAGGUUUGACUCAGGGGCAUAACAGGAAGCAAGACUGGGAGGCCUCAGGAAACGUACAAUCGUGGUGGAAGGCAAAGGGGAAGCAGGCAUGUCUCACCAUGGCAGAGUAGGAGAGAUAGAACAAAAGAAGUGUCCCCCCCGACCCCCCGCACACACACACACACAAAGAUCUCAUAAGAACUCACUAUCAUGAGAAAUGCAUGGGGGAAAUCCACCCCAUAAUCUAAUCAUGUCCCACCAGGUCCCUCCCCUGGCAAGUGGGAAUACAAUUCGACAUGAGAUUUGGGUGGGGACCCAGAGCCAAACCAUAUUACCCUUAUUCAUUAAAAUUUUCUUUUUUUUUUUUUUUUUUUGAGACGGGGUAUCGUUCUGUCGCCCAGGCUGGAGUGCAGUGGUGUGAUCUCAGCUCCCUGAAACCUCUGCCUCCCGGGUUCAAGCAGCUCUCCUGCCUCAGACUCCCGAGGGACUACAGGCGCCUCAGACUCCCCUGGGACUAAGGCAUGCACCACCACGCCUGGCUAAUUUUUAGUAGAGACAGGGUUUCACCAUGUUGGCCAGGCUGGUCUCCAACUCUUAACCUUGUGAUCCACCUGCCUCUGCCUCCCAAAGUGCUGGGAUUACAGGCAUGAGCCACCGUGCCCAACCUUCAUUAAAAUUUUCUUAAAAGACCAGCAGACCUAGGCCAAUCACAGGUUCAUGCCUGUAAUCCCAGCAGUUUAGGAGGCUGAGGUGGGCAGAUCACAUGAGCUCAGGAGUUGGAGACUACCCUGGGCAAUGUGGCAAAACUCCAUCUAUACAGGAAAUACCAAAAAAAAAAAAAAAGUAUUAGUCCGUUUUCACGCUGCUGAUGAAGACAUAUCCAAGACUGGGCAAUUUACAGAAGAAAGAGGUUUAAUUGGACUCACAGUUCCACAUGGCUGGGGAGGCCUCAGAAUCAUGGCGGGAGGUGAAAGGCUCUUCUUACAUGGCAGCAGCAAGAGAAAAUGAGGAAGAAGCAAAAGUGGAAACCUCUGAUAAACCCGUUGGAUCUCAUGAGACUUAUUCACAAUCACAAAAAUAGCACGGGAAGACCGGCCCUCAUGAUUCAAUUACCUCCCCAUGCGUACCACCCACAAACACGUGGGAAUUCUGGGAGAUAAAAUUCAAGUUGAGAUUUGGGUGAGGGCACGGCCAAACCAUAUCAUUCCACCUCUGGCCCCUCAAAAUCUCAGGUCCUCACAUUUCAAAAGCAAUCAUGCCUUCCCAACAGCCUCUCAAAGUCUUAACUCAUUUCAGCAUUAACCCAAAAGUCCGCAGUCCAAAGUCUCAUCUGAGACAAGGCAAGUCCUUUCUGCCUAUGAACCUGUAAAAUUAAAAGCAAGCUAGUUAUUUCCUAGAUACAAUGGGGGUACAGGUAUUGGGUAAAUACAGCAGUUCCCAAUGGGAGAAAUUGGCCAAAACAAAGGGGUUACAAGGCCCAAGGAAGUCCAAAAUCCAGCGAGGCCGUCAAAUUGUAAAGCUCUAAAAUGAUCUCCUUUGACUCCAGCUCUCACAUCCAGGUCACACUGAUGCAAAAGGUGGGUUCCCAUGGUCUUGGGCAGCUCUGCCCCUGUGGCUUUGCAGGGUACAGUCUCCCUCUUGGCUGCUUUCAUGGGCUGGCAUUGAGUGUCUGCA
rnacentral:lncRNA from 1 species